CUAGGGUACUUGUUGGCUUUUGCCCUAAUGGCCUGACUUCCGAUUUAGGCUUUGUCCUAAAUGUACUUUUUGCUCUGUUCCCCUAGCAGCCCUUCCAACUCUUACAAGUUUCAGUCGCAAACUAGUCCCCAGAAUACCCGUUCAACCCCAGGCCUUGAUUUCUCCUCUUUUGUAUAUCCUGAUCUUUAUUUUUCCCAGCACAGGUGAGGCUCCUGGGGACAGAAGAGGCCUCUUGACGAACCAUCGCUCUGCGGGUUGGGACACAGACUGCUGAGUUGUGGUACGCAGUCGGCUUGCUAAGGCAUGAUGGGUGCUGGCACCUAAGUAAUAAGUGAGGUGGGAACAUAUGGCAACAAUCGGGCCCACACCGUUGCACUGUUUGCCUUGAUCUGUUGCACUGUUAGAGGUAGUGCAUAAGUGUUGAUGUUCCGAUAGAUAAAUCUCCCCAAGUUAGGCUUUUUCUAAAAAAAAAAAAAAAAAGUAAUGUCUCUUACUGACAUUGCAAGUAAUUCGAAGACUUGGUUAAAUACUAUUUCCCUUGCUAGAUUUCUUUGCAUGCCAUAAGUUUCAAGCAUCUUUGUAGUGUCUUAGCCUGGCAUAGCUUGGUACAGUUAAUGCUAGUUAAGCAGUUCAGGUAGACCCCAGCACAAAUGACAGGUCUUUGGAAGUUCUUUCCUUCAAAUGUUUGGAUGCACUCCUAAAAGGACAGACAUUGUUCCUGUCGUAGUGUAGCUUACUAUUAUUUGCAGGUGGGGUAAAAUUUUGUUCUCUAUUUUAUUGGUUCUUAAUACUACUCAGAGACCUGGUCUGACAGAUGCUCCAUCUCCUCACUACAUCCUUGCAUGAUGUCAGAGGCAGGCAGACAACCUAACUUUUACAGUGGCUGACUGAAAGUAAAGUCGCAUAGCCAUUCCUGAUUCCAAGAGCAGAUUCCUUAAAGAGUGACAUUGAAUAUUUGUGAGCAAUAAUACAUUCCACUAAAAAUAUAUUUCAUAAUCCUCAUAGAGUUCCAACACAGGAAUCUGACACCGCUUCAUUUUAGCAUUUUAAAAGGUUUUUGUUCCCUUGAUUAAGUAUGGAGCUAAUUAUGAACUGAUUGUCAGAAAUUUGAAUACCAAUCCCAACUGUUGUCCAUUUCCUAGGGUAGAGAUCCAAUCUUUCCACCUGUUCAUGAAGCCUCUCCAGGUACUUACUCCUUACUCUGGCUUCUUUGUCCUGAAAGAGUAUUUUUAUUUAGGUCAUAGCCAUGGAGUAAGACUAUGAAUGUGGUCUUGUUUUAGCCUCUUUUCCUGAUAGUGAUAGAAAAGAAACAUUUGCAAGAUGAGUGGUCACAUACUAUGUGCCUGAAGUCAUGUGACUGUGUUCUAGUAAAGAUACCACAGCAGCACUGAGGCUAUGGUUUGGUUGAAUUUGUCUACUGUCAACAUCCUUAAUCUGUCUGGUCUGUUUAUAGGAGCUAUUCUUGUAAAAAUAGGAAAAUGGUAGACUAUUGACUAGGGUCUUUAAGGCUUGCACUAAUCGCUGCCACUCCUCCUGAAGACACAAAAAUGUUUGUGAUUUCCUGUUGUAUUUGGGGGCUAGGGAAGUGAUUUUAGAGGUUUCCUCUUAGCCUUCUGCAGUAUGAUAGCCCUAUCUCAUAGGCUAAGGAACUGUAGGAGAAUACCAUGUUGCCCCUAUUACCUUGCAGAUAUCUGUAUAAGGCAGCGAGGCAAGGGCUUCAACUGCAGCUAAUUUGAGUCUUCACAGAUCAUCCUGUGAUUCUUCUGGAACACAAGAGGACAGGAACUGAACCCAGGGCCUCAUGCAUGGUUAGGAAGUGCUCAACCACUGAGCUAUACUCCUAGCCCUCAGUGAGUGCUGUGUGCCAAGCAUUAGUCUAGACAUUUGGGUCAUGUCAGAGAACAAAGCAGACAAAGAUCUUUGUUAUUGUGGAUCUUAUGUGUGUGAAGCUGAAGGUGCAGUAGAGACCCAAGAAGUUUGGAGAAUCCAGGAACAUGGAUCAUCUGAGGAAAACUACAAGGAGGGGGCUGGGGAUUUAGCUCAGUGGUUCCACUGCCAGCUUUGCAAGCACAAGGACCCGAGUUCGAUCUCCUGUACCAAAAAAAAAAAGAAAACUACAAGGAGAGAACAGAGCCAGUCCAAGAGAGAAGCAGUAGGUGCUACAACUACUAGCAGUGCCAUGGGGCAGAGCCCCCAAGCCCUUUAGAGUUCACAGCUUGCCACAGAUUGCCUUGGAUACUGGAUAUGGAACUAUAGGACUUAAUGUUUGCCCUUCUAGAUUUUGGAGUUGCUUUGGUCUUGUUCCUUUCUAUCCCCCUAUUUGUACCUUUGGGAAUGGUAAUGCUUAUCUUGUGCCAUUGUAUGUUGGAAAUGUUUAACUUUCUUUUCACUUGUGCAGGGGCUCACAGCUAAGAGUUUGCCUUAAAUCUCAGAGGAGACUGGACUUGGUCUUUUCAGCAGUGUUGAAACUAUUAGGACUUUGGCAACCUUUAGAGAUGAAUUAUAUGCCUUUUGCUUAAAGGGAUGUGCAUGAAUCUUUGAGGGGCCAGGGACAGAAUGUUAUGGCUUGUGUCUAGAUGUCCCCCCAAAGUGUUAUGCGGUCACAUGUGGGGCUUUUCAGAGGUGGAUGGAUCUAGAGUGUGACACCGGGAUUGAUUCAUGGUGCAAUGAUGGGAUUAAGGCCGCUAGAAUUAAGGGUGUGAGUGCCCCAGCAGGUAGCCUGCAUAAGAUCUAAGAGACAGAAUAUUGCUAGUCACUUAUUUGCUUUUUCUGUCUUCUGCCUGCCAUGAACUGUUUCUUCUCUGCUGUGCCCCCCUGCCAUGCCACCUUGCCUUAGAGGAGGUUGACUAUGGACUGAAACCUCUACAAACUGUGAGCCAGAUAAACCUUUCCUCCUUUAACUUUGGGUGUCAGGUAUUUUGUCUCAACAACAAGAAAAGUAACCAAGACAUUAUGUUUUAGAGGAUGGAAGCAGAUAAUAAAUGUGUAAAUUAUGAAACAUGUUAGGAAGUGAUAAUGAAAAGGAAGAAAAAGUAGAGCUAGGUAAGGGGAAUGGCAAGUACUGGGGGUGAGUAAGGUGGAGUGUGCUGCAAUAUUAAAUAUGGUGGUCAUGAUAGGCCUCAUUGAGAAAAGUGACAUUUUGAAAAUCUGAAGGCAGUGAAAGAAGUGGCCAUGUACACAUCCAGGGAAAGAACAGUCUAGGUAGGAGAACAGCCUGUGCACAGUCUUUAAGGUGGAAGGAACAAAGAGGUCAAUGUUCGGUAUGUAAAGUCUUCAAGGCAUAUAAAAUGUGUAGGUCUCCUUGUUUCUAUCCUGAAUGACUCUAGUUUGCCAUGCCUUUCUAAAACCUUGUGGUAAAAAAUAUAAAAUUUACACUCUUAACCUUUGUGUUUUUUUUUUUGGUACCGGGGAUCGAACUCGGGACCUUCUGCUUGCGAGGCAGGCGCCAGAACCACUGAGCUAAAUCCCCGGCCCCACUCUUAACCUUUUUAAAUACACAGUUUAGUGGUAUUAACUAUACAGUAGUUAGUGUUAUUCACAUUGUUGAGUGACAGAGCUCUGGAACUUUUUAAUCUUGCAAAACUGAAACUUUAUACCCAUGUGCUAUGGUGUGGAUAUAGUUUGUCCCCAAAGGUUUAUGUGUUGGAUUCUGUUUCCACCACUUCAGUGGUGCCACACAGGGGACCAAGAAUCCAUUGAGGUGGUGGAAAUGUUAGGAGGUGGGCUUGGUGGAAGGUAAUUAGAUCAAGAGGGCAGCAUUCUUAGAAGAAAUUAAGUACUUUUCACAGGACAAAGUUAAUUCCUGCAAAGGGAGGUGGGGAGGGGUUAUUAUAAAAGAGGUUGUCCCUCCCUGUGCUUGCUUCCUUAUUCCCGCACAUGUAGUUCUGCCACAACCUAUCUCUUUUCUUUGCCGUGGUGUAGCCAGACACCCUGUACAAUGCGGUUUGGACUUUCCAACCACCAGAUUUAUAAGCCAAAUAAACCUUUUUUCCUUAAAAAGUA